rnacentral:rRNA from 1 species
UACGUAGGGUGCGAGCGUUGUCCGGAUUUAUUGGGCGUAAAGAGCUCGUAGGCGGCUCGUCGCGUCGGCCGUGAAAACCUAGGGCUUAACCCUGGGCUUGCGGUCGAUACGGGCGGGCUAGAGUUCGGUAGGGGAGACUGGAAUUCCUGGUGUAGCGGUGAAAUGCGCAGAUAUCAGGAGGAACACCGGUGGCGAAGGCGGGUCUCUGGGCCGAUACUGACGCUGAGGAGCGAAAGCGUGGGGAGCGAACAGG